rnacentral:rRNA from 1 species
UGGGGAAUAUUGGACAAUGGGCGAAAGCCUGAUCCAGCCAUGCCGCGUGUGUGAAGAAGGUCUUCGGAUUGUAAAGCACUUUAAGUUGGGAGGAAGGGCAGUAAGCGAAUACCUUGCUGUUUUGACGUUACCGACAGAAUAAGCACCGGCUAACUCUGUGCCAGCAGCCGCGGUAAUACAGAGGGUGCAAGCGUUAAUCGGAAUUACUGGGCGUAAAGCGCGCGUAGGUGGUUCGUUAAGUUGAAUGUGAAAGCCCCGGGCUCAACCUGGGAACUGCAACCAAAACUGGCGAGCUAGAGUAGGGCAGAGGGUGGUGGAAUUUCCUGUGUAGCGGUGAAAUGCGUAGAUAUAGGAAGGAACACCAGUGGCGAAGGCGACCACCUGGGCUCAUACUGACACUGAGGUGCGAAAGCGUGGGGAGCAAACAGG